CCUACGGGCGGCUGCAGUGGGGAAUAUUGGGCAAUGGGCGCAAGCCUGACCCAGCAACGCCGCGUGAAGGAAGAAGGCUUUCGGGUUGUAAACUUCUUUUCUCAGGGACGAAGCAAGUGACGGUACCUGAGGAAUAAGCCACGGCUAACUUCGGGCCAGCAGACGCGGUAAUACGUAGGGGGCAAGCGUUUACCGGAUUUACUUGGUGCAAAGGGCGUGUUGGUGGGGACGCAAGCCAGAUGUGAAAACCACGGGCUUAAACUUUGGCCUGCAUUUGAAACUACGUUACUUGAGUACUGGAGAGGCAGACGGAAUUCCUAGUGUAGCGGUGAAAUGCGUAGAUAUUAGGAGGAACACCAGUGGCGAAGGCGGUCUGCUGGACAGCAACUGACGCUGAGGCGCGAAAGCGUGGGGAGCAAACAGGAUUAGAUACCCUGGUAGUC
rnacentral:rRNA from 1 species